GUACCGCUCCCGCUCUCGAUCGACCUGAUCGAGCGUGUACGGGUCGGCA
rnacentral:sRNA from 1 species